rnacentral:rRNA from 1 species
UGGGGGAUAUUGCACAAUGGGCGAAAGCCUGAUGCAGCGACGCCGCGUGGGGGAUGAAGGCUUUCGGGUUGUAAACCUCUUUCGCUAUCGAACAAGGCCCGCUUAGGGUGGGUUGAGGGUAGGUGGAGAAGAAGCGCCGGCUAACUACGUGCUAGCAGCCGCGGUAAUACGUAGGGCGCGAGCGUUGUCCGGAAUUAUUGGGCGUAAAGGGCUUGUAGGCGGCUUGUUGCGCCUGCUGUGAAAACGCGGGGCUUAACUUCGCGCGUGCAGUGGGUACGGGCAGGCUUGAGUGUGGUAGGGGUGACUGGAAUUCCAGGUGUAGCGGUGGAAUGCGCAGAUAUCUGGAGGAACACCGAUGGCGAAGGCAGGUCACUGGGCCAUUACUGACGCUGAGGAGCGAAAGCAUGGGUAGCGAACAGG